rnacentral:pre_miRNA from 1 species
UUAACUUAAAUUUAUAUGGAGUUUGGAACGUUUGCCUACGUUUGCUGCUAGGGGCAAACGUAGGAGCGCUGUUUCAACUGCAUACAAAUUUGAGUUA